GAGUUUGAUCCUGGCUCAGAACGAACGCUGGCGGCAUGCCUAACACAUGCAAGUCGAACGAGACCUUCGGGUCUAGUGGCGCACGGGUGCGUAACACGUGGGAAUCUGCCCUUCGGUUCGGAAUAACUGAGAGAAAUUUCAGCUAAUACCGGAUGAUGACGUAAGUCCAAAGAUUUAUCGCCGAAGGAUGAGCCCGCGUAGGAUUAGGUAGUUGGUGGGGUAAUGGCCCACCAAGCCGACGAUCCUUAGCUGGUCUGAGAGGAUGAUCAGCCACACUGGGACUGAGACACGGCCCAGACUCCUACGGGAGGCAGCAGUGGGGAAUAUUGGACAAUGGGCGCAAGCCUGAUCCAGCCAUGCCGCGUGCAGGAUGAAGCAUCUAUGGUGUGUAAACUGCUUUUAUACAGGAAGAAACCCCUUUACGUGUAGAGGAUUGACGGUACUGUAGGAAUAAGGAUCGGCUAACUCCGUGCCAGCAGCCGCCGUAAG
rnacentral:rRNA from 1 species